rnacentral:rRNA from 1 species
AGUGAACGCUGGCGGCAGGCCUAACACAUGCAAGUCGAGCGGCAGCGCGGGGGCAACCCUGGCGGCGAGCGGCGGACGGGCGAGGAAUUCGUCGGAAUCUGCCUUUUUGUGGGGGAUAACGUAGGGAAACUUACGCUAAUACCGCAUACGUCCUACGGGAGAAAGUGGGGGACCGCAAGGCCUCACGCAGAAAGAUGAGCCGACGACCGAUUAGCUAGUUGGUGGGGUAAAGGCCCACCAAGGCGACGAUCGGUAGCUGGUCUGAGAGGACGAUCAGCCACACUGGGACUGAGACACGGCCCAGACUCCUACGGGAGGCAGCAGUGGGGAAUAUUGGACAAUGGGCGCAAGCCUGAUCCAGCCAUGCCGCGUGUGUGAAGAAGGCCUUCGGGUUGUAAAGCACUUUUGUCCGGAAAGAAAUCCCUGGAGCUAAUACCUUCGGGGGAUGACGGUACCGGAAGAAUAAGCACCGGCUAACUUCGUG